rnacentral:lncRNA from 1 species
ACUUCCUUACACUCUUGCCAGCAUUAGCCACACCCUGGUGUCUCUCAGCCAGUUUAAGCUGGUGUUAAAGUAGACAAGCAGACUGGUUAAGACCACCAAGACUAAAUGAAGUUGUUUGUCACAGACAUCUUAGGAGGAAGAGAAUACAGAUACCAGACAUUUUCUUUACUAAAAUGGACAGUUUUUUUUUCUUUCUUUUUUUCCUUUUAAAAGAUUUUUUAUAUAGAAGAAAUCUGAAAAUUUGGAGGCAGCACCGGCUUUUUUUAAAUGAAGAAUGGUGUAUAUGAACUGAGUCUGUCUGCAUGAUGCAGCUCUGAUUUCUUGCCUCUGCAUCAGCUCCUGCUUCCUGACCUGUUUGAGUUCCAGUCCUGACUUCUUUCAGUGAUGAACAGCAAUGUGGAAAUGUAAGCUGAAUAAACCCUUUCCUCCCCAACUUGCUUCUUGGUCAUGUUGUUUGUUCAGGAAUAGAAACCCUAACUAAGACACAUCCCUAAGCAGAAACUACUGCGGUAAGUAGUUCAACUCUGCCUGUCCUUGAACUUCAGUGAGAUCCACUCACACAGUGUGUUCUCUGUGCUGGUGGCACUGUAGUUCCUUUCCUCUUACUUCACUGACACUUACUCUGUGUGGCUGAGUUAGCACUUCACUUCUUUUUUCUCCACCAAAAUUGUUGAGUUAUAAGGUAGAUAUACAUUUAAUUGGAUAUUAGCAAUCAAGUUCUUCUUUCAAAUUAGCCGGAACAAAUUGUGUUCCUACCAGCACAUUGCAAAAGCUCCCAUCUUUGCAUACACCAAUGUUUGGGUUCUGGGGUUUUAACAUCAGCUACGCUGGUUGGCAUGUGCUAUUAUUAAUCCAUGCAGUUUAAUUUUGAAUGUGUGUAACUGGUUAAGGUUUUGGAACUGCUGCAGAUUCUGAUCUACUGCAUCCACCCAUGUGACUUUCAAAAGCCUCACGGGGUUACCAUCCUCCAAUUAGUCCUAUCUUUUACUCAUCUCCAACCCAGAACCAGCAAAUUGUCACCUAAACAAAGAACAAGCUAUAUGCGCAUGUACUAAAAGCAAAAACCCGCCAAAAGUCACCAGCCCAUUUCUGGGGCACUGGUCCAUCCCCCAGGGCACUAGCCCAACCCCUGGGGCGUUUAGCCUAUCCCUAGGGUGCAUGAGAUUCGUGGGUGUAGCUACCAGUCCUAGUUUAGACAUGUCACCAAAAAGUAUUUAAGCCACACACUUUCUGAGCCUUCUUUGUCUACCUCAAUAUGUUAUGAAGUAAAGUUAACCACGAAAGAA